rnacentral:rRNA from 1 species
CCUACGGGAGGCAGCAGUGGGGAAUAUUGGACAAUGGGCGGAAGCCUGAUCCAGCAACGCCGCGUGAGGGAUGACGGCCUUCGGGUUGUAAACCUCUUUCAGUACCGACGAAGCGCAAGUGACGGUAGGUACAGAAGAAGCACCGGCCAACUACGUGCCAGCAGCCGCGGUAAUACGUAGGGUGCGAGCGUUGUCCGGAAUUAUUGGGCGUAAAGGGCUCGUAGGCGGUUUGUCGCGUCGGGAGUGAAAACGCCGUGCUUAACACGGCGCUUGCUUUCGAUACGGGCAGACUAGAGGUAUGCAGGGGAGAACGGAAUUCCUGGUGUAGCGGUGAAAUGCGCAGAUAUCAGGAGGAACACCGGUGGCGAAGGCGGUUCUCUGGGCAUUACCUGACGCUGAGGAGCGAAAGUGUGGGGAGCGAACAGGAUUAGAUACCCUGGUAGUCCACACCGUAAACGUUGGGCGCUAGGUGUGGGAUCCAUUCCACGGGUUCCGUGCCGCAGCUACGCAUAGCGCCCGCCGUCGGGAGGUACGGCCGCGACGACGUAAACUACAAGAAGUAGACGGCGNGAGACGNGCCGACGGACGACGACGACGGGAGGUAGG